UGGAGCUGGACGCCGUUGACGACAGAUCUGGUGCAGAGGAUGAGAGAGGCGAAGCAGGCGAGGAUGACCACGGAAUCAAAGAACAGAAGGAGAUAAUCGUCUUUAUCAGCUGGAAAAAAGAGCCAGAUUUCAGAUUAUCUUGUAUGGCCUGCCCUCUUUCACCACCACUUGUUGAUGCCUCAGCCCGGCUCAGUCGUCUUCCUGGAUCCACACAUUUUACAUAUAGAUAUUAGAUAUUCUGUCAGCGCAAUUUGUAAAUUGUGAUUUUGUUAUUCUGUUCUGUACAUGCGGCAUCUAUUGCAUGGUCUAUCCUGGGAGAGGGAUCCCGCCUCUGUGGCUCUUCCUGAGCAAGUUUCUCUUCACUCUAACCGAGAGUCAACGGACAAAGGCUGCUCUUCACUCUACAGAUUGUCAAACCCACUGAGGUGAAGUGACUGUGAUUUGGGGGUUUAUGAAUAAAAUGUGUACAUUUAUAUUGAUUUGAGGCUAUAUCGACCUGACCUAAUUUUUUUCCCACCAUUUUUCAAGGAUGAAACAAAUAAAACUUUUAAAAACAA